rnacentral:snoRNA from 13 species
UCUGGGUUGAACUGUGAUGAAACUGAUCGCUCUGGAUACAAGAGUGAAGAAUACAAGAUCCAACUCUGAUUUCAUCCCAUU